UUAGUCAAAUUUCAAUCUUUAAUCUUCAAUCUUCAAUUUUCAAUGCGUAGUCUGAUACGGGCUUUAUCCGACCUAUGCGCAAUAUUGGAUACUUUCGCGCGUCAAUAAAAAAAUCAGCGUUCGUCGUACGAAAAAAAUAAAAAAGUCACCGGCGCAACAUCAAAAAAACGACGAAAUCGUGGGUCUUCAGGAUCCAAGUUUCGGAGUUUGACGGCGCGUGCAAAUUAAAUGACUGAUAUGACGAUAAAUGUUGUUCGAAUCAUUAUUGUAGAUAAUUCUACGCUCAACAAAAAAGCACCUCAAACCAAAGAGAUUCAUGGUGGUUACAACCUGGGAAGACUAAUUGGAGGGUUCGAUGUCUAAUAUGACUGGCCUAGAUGUAUAUAUAAAGAUUGUAAAAAUAAAGUUAUUAAUAAACUUACAUAGUUAUUUUUAAAGUUAUUAAUUUAUUAAAAAAAUUUUAAAGUAUUUUUAAAAUUUCUUU